rnacentral:rRNA from 1 species
GCGUGUGUGAAGAAGGCCUGCGGGUUGUAAAGCACUUUCAGUUGAGAGGAAAAGCUUAAGGAUAAUACCCUUGAGUCUUGACGUAACCAACAGAAGAAGCACCGGCUAACUCCGUGCCAGCAGCCGCGGUAAUACGGAGGGUGCGAGCGUUAAUCGGAAUUACUGGGCGUAAAGCGUGCGUAGGCGGAUAUUUUAGUCAGAUGUGAAAGCCCCGGGCUUAACCUGGGAAUUGCAUUUGAUACUGGAUAUCUAGAGUGUAGUAGAGGGGGGUAGAAUUCCUAGUGUAGCGGUGAAAUGCGU